UUCCCAGUGGCGCAAUUGGUUAGCGCGCGGUACUUAUAAUGCCGAGGUUGUGAAGUUCGAUCUCACCUGGGGAA
rnacentral:tRNA from 1 species